GUGGGGAAUCUUGCGCAAUGGGCGAAAGCCUGACGCAGCCAUGCCGCGUGAAUGAUGUAGGUCUUAGGAUUGUAAAAUUCUUUCACCGGGGACGAUAAUGACGGUACCCGGAGAAGAAGCUCCGGCUAACUUCGUGCCAGCAGCCGCGGUAAUACGAAGGGGGCUAGCGUUGCUCGGAAUUACUGGGCGUAAAGGGCGCGUAGGCGGACAGCUUAGUCAGAGGUGAAAGCCCAGGGCUCAACCUUGGAAUUGCCUUUGAUACUGGCUGUCUUGAGUUUGGGAGAGGUGAGUGGAACUCCGAGUGUAGAGGUGAAAUUCGUAGAUAUUCGGAAGAACACCAGUGGCGAAGGCGACUCACUGGCCCAAUACUGACGCUGAGGCGCGAAAGCGUGGGGAGCAAACAGGAUUAGAAACCCCAGUAGUCC
rnacentral:rRNA from 1 species